rnacentral:lncRNA from 1 species
AAAGGACAAACUACAGGAGAAACAUCUCAACAGUCAAAUUAGUGCAACAAAUCAGAUACAAACUUGUGCUAAUUAAGAAGCACUCCACCAGCAGCAGUAUACACCUCAAUGCCCAGAAAAUAAUGCAAAGACCCAAGGUCUUUAAUCCUGAACUGGUCAGUAGACACCUCAAUGCCCAGAAAAUAAUGCAAAGACUCAAGGUCUUUGAUCCUGAACUGGUCAUCCAGGAAGUGUUUGAGGGCAGAAAGUUCAGCAACAUCAUCUCCAGUGAUAAUAAUGUCAUCCACAUACACUGCCAGAACCACAAGACACCCAGGCUGGCCCUUGACAAAUAAAGAGUAAUCAUUCAUAGAAUGGGUAUAGCCUCUAGAGUAUAGAGCAUGAGACAAUUUGGCAUACCACUGUCUGGAAUCCUG